UUAUGUUUUCAUACUCAGGACAAAACUGAAGUUUUAACCAUUGGUCCUGAAGACGAGAGAGAUCUUUUUAUCUAAA